UCCGGAGCCUGUGCUCUGCAACGGGAGAGGCUGCGGCAGGGAGAGGCCCGCGUACCGAAAAAAAAAAAAAAAAAAAAAAAAAAAAGUCCUUAAUACGCCUUGGAAGCUUAUAUGAUGCAGCUACCGUGUGCCCCUCAACCUAAAUUUGGGCCCUUGCACAUUACCCCUGCUCCAUCCUGUCACUCUCAAAGCUCCAGGCUAUUUCCUCCUAAGUAAUUCCUGUUCUUAUUUGGUUUCACCUUGUUUAAUUACCAAGGAGCGUGAUUAUUGGACUGUAUAGUAGGAAUAUGUUUAGUUUUGUAAAAAGCCACCAAAUUGUCUUUCAAAGUGAUUGUACCAUUUUGCAUUCCCCCCAGCAAUGAAUGAGAGUUCCUGUUACUCCACAUCCUCCAAACCAAAAUUUGGUGUCAUCAGUGGUUUGAAUUCACACCCUCCUAAUAAGUGUGCGGUUGUAUCUCAUUGUUGGAUCAUGCUUUUGGUGUUGUAUCUGAAAAGUCAUCACCAUACCCAAGGUCCUUUAGGUUUUCUCCUGUAUUACCCUCUAGGUACCUUUUUCAUUUUCUGAUGAGGAAAGUGAGGGACAGAGAAGUGGAGUGACUUUCCUGGUCACUUAGUAGCUGAGGAAGGAAAGGUCAAAAUCUUUGUCUCCUGAAUCUUCAUGCAGUGCCUUUACCUUGCUGACUCAGCAACCUUUCUUCAAUUUAAUCCACACGAUUUUUCUGGACAAGACAGUCCUUUUCUGUUUGGAAGGCACAUGGCCUUCCAGGGCCAGAUGUUCAAAGUUGGUCCUCUGAAGCUUCUUAGCCCUCAUUUGUUAUCCCAUCUCCUUACACAAUGAAGAGAGUGGCUGGAGUACAUGCUGCAAUGUGUUGCCUAGGUCCCUUGGUAACACUGAAGGACCCUCUUCCUCCAGCUGCAGGGAGCAUUGUCCACAGAGCCCUCAGCUGUCCAUCCUCUUCAGAAUUAUUUAAAAAGGGUCACCUUACUCAAAUUGAAGACCCGCUUCCUGAGUCAACCUGUAUCUAAUGCCUAGUUGAUGUGGAUACAACGUCUGGCCCUUUGCCCCAACUCUGCACAGCCCUCCAGGUCAUCCCCGAUUCUGAGCUGCCUGAUGAGUCAACUGAUGCUUUGUCAAAACUGCCUUCUAACCCAGCUUCUCCCUCUGCACAGUCCUGCUUCUGAACCCUUUUUCUUCCACAGGUAUCACGCGCAGGAGCAAUCUGGAAUAGAUUUCCUACAUGCUACCCUCUGUCUCAGCGUCUGCUUCCUGGGAACUCAGCCCAUGACAGUUGGUGCCAGGAGUGGUUUGAGAAACCAGAUGCUAGGAUGAGAUUUUGGAGCUGGGUCACUUGCCCCUCAGUUGGCAAUGGGGACCUCCACCCACCAGACAGUGCCUGGCAUGAGACAGCUGUGCACUUGUGAACACAUAGACUGGAGGUGAACUGGAAAAGUAUUCUUGUGGGAGAGAAUGUUCUCCAAAGUGCCAUGUUUGGGAAAUAUGGGAAACGUAACUCUAAGGAUAAUGAAGUUGGGUAGCUCUUGCUAAGCACAAUGUCCACUAGCUGCAUGGACUCAGCCAGGAGUCAUUCUUCCCGUCCCUGGUAUAUAAUUGAAGAAGACAUAUUUGGUAGUAGGCACAAUCUUGACAUUGGUUCCUUGGCCUGGGCAGUGAGAGCUAUUGUAAUGGGGAAGACUGGGUGGAAGGAAGCCUCUGAAAUUGCACCCUGCUCCUCUAGCAGGGUAGUAAGUGAAAAAGAAUACUAUAUCCUUGGGGAACAAAAGAAAUCAGUGUCAUCCUUGAAAUUCUUUCCCAUCCUAUCUCCAUUACAUUCACCAGUAUGAGCCUGAGAAAACCAGAUGGCUCCUGUGGGAUGCUUGUAGGUACCACAAGCUCAGGCAAGGACUGGUGCUAAUUGCAGCUGAUUCCUGAGAGUAUUUUUUUAGAUCAGGUAAGCAUAGCCUCAGAUUCAUGAAAUGUGGUCCUUGAUCUGGACAAUCCAUUCUCUUGUAUCUCUAUCAGAGAAACAUAUCUGGAAUACUAUAAAUUUACUUGGACAACUAUAUAAAUUUAUAGUCUGGCUCUAAGGCUAUGUUAACUUUCAGAGAUCUGGACUGGCUGGACAUUCCAUAGAACAUCCACUGGUCCACUAUAUGGAUGGAAUCAUGCUAAUUGGAUCAGAUGAAAAAAAUAAUGGCUAGUUCACUGGAACCCCAUACACUUCAGAGGAUAGAAAAAACCCUGAAAAUUUUGGGGGCCCCAUAUUAGCAACAAUUUUAGGUGUCCAGUUAUUUGGGGGUAUAUCAGAACAGGGCAAAUUAUUUCAUCUUGUGCCUCCUGGCACAAAGAAGGAUGCUCAACACCUGGUGGGCCUCUUGCUGUUCUAGAAGCUGCACAUUCCACACCUUGGAAUAUUGCUGCAGCUGAUAUACCUAGUGACGUGGAAGUUCACUAAUUCUGAUUGGGGGCUGGGGCAGGAAAGAGCCCUGAAGCAGGUCAACGCUGCUAUGCAUUAUUUGACCUUAUGACCUAGUAGACCUAUAAGAUUAGAAGUAUCCCCAGUGGUGGGAAAAGACUCCUCAUAGAAGUUAUACUAAGUACCAAAGAAGAAUCACAACACAGACCAUAGGAUUCUAGAGCAAGACCAUACCAAUUCUAACAAAUAACUUUAUACCUUUUUAAAAACAGCCGCUGGCGUGCUACUGAGCCAUGGAAGUGAUGGAAUGACUGAUCAGGAGACACCAAUGAUCAUGGAGUCAAAAGUGUCCAUCAUGGGCAGAGUUCUUUUGGGUCCACCUAGUCACAAAGUUGGGCAGGUCCAACAACCAUCCAUUGCAAGAGGGAAGCAGCACGCAUAGGAUGGAAGCAUGAGCAGGGCCAGUGCUAUAGAAAAUAGAGAUUUUUUUUGAGCAAUAAAAAUAGUCAAGAUUUCUGGACAAGCAAGAUUUGCGAGCAAGUAGCCCAGAUAGGAUCACCGUUGCAACAGAACCUCUCCCUCAGCUCACACCUAUGACCAUAUGGAGGAUCCUAACCACCAGCUGAUGGAUGAGGCAAAAACCUCAGCUUGAUUCAAGGGGAGAUGGCUGUAUUUGUGAGCUCACGUCGCAGUCCAACAGGGGUAAUAAACCCUGAUCAUCGGGACCAGGUAUGGUUUCUGUUAUACAAUGGAGACACCAGGAAGUCACCUGGGCGCCUCUCAAAAUUCCCUUGUUUGAUGAUAAAAGAGUGCAGCAGCCACAGUCUGAUAAAGGCAGGAUGACCAGGACUGAGGUUCCUCAGGGAUGAGGACAUGGGUGAUGCCACGAAGUAAGCCACCAAGACCCCGGAAGUGCUGGCCAGGAGGUAGAAGAAUCUACAAUGGUUGAAGAGGAAGGAAAUAAUGACUGUUGGUUUUGACCCUGAAACCAGCGGUAGCGCCCAGGGCUAACCUUCCUCUUUUAAGUUUCCCUCAAAAGAAUCUCCUCACCCCUCACAACCCACCCUGGGAUUCUAGAGGAGAUGUUUCCAGAACUUAAAGUAGUGGAUUUAAAUGGUAUAAAGGAAAGACUAGUGUAUGCAGUGAUGCCCCGUCUAGCUUCCCCAUCAGCACCUGAAGGGCUUAUUCCUCUACCUGCUAGGAGUGCUAUGUGCGGAUGCCCUUAGCUGUCAGCGCUUUGCAAUAUUUACCUUGGCUAAAGAGAGUUGCUUUGCCCGAGGCCACACGUCUCUUUUCUGCAGCAGCCCACAUCCAAAGACUGAAGUGCCCACCUCGUGCUCACUAGUAGGGAAGAUUCCAGAGAGAGAAUCCUAAGCCCCAAAGGACGCUGUGAGGUUGUUGAAGUUCGAGGAGCGUGAAUCCCCCAUAUCUCCCUAGAGAGGCUACUGAGAUUUCACAAGCUGGCCGGGCUCUGUCGUGGGCAGAGGGACAAGCACGAUUCCUGUGGGCAUAACUGCGUUGUCACAACAAGUUUCUGUUAAACCCGCUGAUGUGGCUGGUUUGAGGACCACACUUGGGGAACCACUGGCCUGGAGCCUCAUUCCCCCAACCUGCUGUUGGUUACACAGUAUUAUGGAAAGGCUUUGGAGUUUGGAACCAGAGAGCUAUGAGCACAAAGCCUGUUGCUAUUCCUCAUUACAUGCAUGGCCUUGAGCAAGUUACUUAACCUUGCUGGGAAUUAAUUCCCUCCUUGCUGUAAAUACACCCACUGAUGAGGUCAUCUCUGUAAAGCCCAUAAGCACAGUGCUUGGCAAAUGUUCAGGCACGUGGCCCACGCUCUACCAGUGACACUAACCUGUGUGAGGCUGAUUGAGGAGCGAUAAUAUGAAGAAGCAGGUUCCAUGAGGAAUGCAUCUUUUAGCCAGGAUGGUGGUGAAGGCAUCAAGCUUUUAGAAGACAGGAGUGGUGAAAGUUCUGGCAUCUGACAUCCAGCAAUGUGGGCACAGUCUGUCAUGUUCAUGCCCGUUGUGGGGCAGUGAGCUCUGCCUGGAGUAGGCCUGUGGUUGAACUGGGAACUGUUUCUGCAUCGGUAGCCUCCAUACAGAUUCUCUGGGCCUCCCACAGAUUCCGGGAGAUAGCUAAUACACAGGAACUGUUCAAUUCUUCAGAUUAAACUGGCUAGAAUAAAUCUGUAACUAAGAACCCCUGUACUUACAUUCUAUCCCUGGAAUAAUGCAUAGCACGUAACAGGUGUUCUGUGAUAUUUGUUGAAUGGAAUAAUUCAGUAAGUCUUUACUAUGCUUGAGCACAUGCAUAGGAAGCUGUGUGGAUUGAUCCUGACAAACUUAUUAAUGUCAUCUAUUCCAGUAGACUGUAGAAUCCCUCAAGAUAUUUGCUGUCCCUCCAUAGAAAGGAUUAAAUUUAUCUGCUUCAUUGAUGCAGGCUUGGCCAUGUCUUGCUGCAGCUGGUAAAAUCCCAGCAGAAGUGAUGGAUAUCAUUUCUGAACAGAAAAUUUAAGAACCAGCAUCUGAACCUCUGAGUUCUUUUAUUUUCCGUCUCUGAUAAGAGGCAAGUUUCCAAAAAGAGACUGCUCUGUUAGCUGAGGUCCUAGAGAGAAUGGGACAUAAAGAAGGGAUGAGGCUGACCUGCAGUGAACAUGCAGCAUGGUGGAGGGCAAGUCAGGGAGAUGUUGACGUUGUUUAUUUCCUUGGUAUAACCUAGUUUGUCCUAAUGGAUACACCCGCUUAUAGAUGCAGACACCAAGGACAAAUGGUAAUUGAGAUAUGAUUUGAAUCCAGGCAUUUUUACCUGGGAGCCCCUUAUAUCUUAACCAUAUGCUAACCCUGACCCAGCUUAAUGAAGAAGACAAAAGUAAAAACCAACACCAAUCAUCGAUAUAAUUAUGAAUGAGAAAUUAGAAAUAACCACACAUUCUGAGGAUGUUUAAAGCACUAUUAAACAGCACCUUGCAAGACAAUAUGCAAAUAUAUUUGGAGACUUGGAUGAGAGGAUAAUUUUCUACAGAACAAAAUUAACCUCAGAAGAUAAAAAGACAUGAAACAGAAUGACCACCACAAUAGAAAUGGAAAAAAUUAUUAAAGAUCUACUACCCACCUCCCUGACUCCUACACCUGCUGGCCACUGCUGAAAAUAUAGCGUAGAUUCCUUCAUGGGUGAAUUGUUUCAAAUCUUUAAGUAACAGGUAAUUCCAGUGCUAUUUAACCUGUUCCAGAGCAUUGAGAAAUAUACAAAGCUUUCAAAUUAUUUUUAGAAAGCCAAAGUAACAUUGUACCAAAACCUACAAAGAUAGCACUAAAGAAGAAAUCUAACAUCCAAUCUCACUUAAGAAUAGGGCUGACAAAUCUUAAAUUAAAUAUUAAAAAUACAUAACUCAACAAAACAUUAAAAUACAGCAAAUAAAAUUCAUUUCGCAAGCUAAGUACUUGACAUAUAUUAUGAUAAUGCAUUCUACUAAUACAGAUCAAAGAAAAAAAUGUUCACCUCAAUCAAUGGCCAGAAGACAUUUAAUGAAGUUCAAUAAUUAGUUCUGAUUUAGAAACACAGACAAACAUGCAAACACAUAGGAAAACGAUAAUAGAAGAACACUUUCUUCACCAAACAACAAUAAAAAAUGUAUUUCAAGCCCUAGGUCAGACAUUAUGUGACUUUAAAAGACACUAGAAACUUUAAAACAAGGCUUCCCACUCUCAGGACUAUUUUGAGACAUUGUUUGCUAUACACAGUCUACUACAGUUAGAUAAAUGUAGGAGUAAGUGACAGAAAUACUAUAUCAAGAAGACUAAGAAAAUAAAUUGGAUAAACUAUGAGAACAAUGAGAUCUCAAAAAUGUAACUGUUUUCACACAAGUAAUAAGUACACAUACACAGAACUUUUGUUUCUUCUUAAAAUAGAGUAAGAGGGACUAAAUUUACCCUCCUAAUGGAAACAACCCAAAACCUGAUGAAAUAUAUAAAACAACAGUUUUUGAAACAAUGGUCAUCAGGCAGUGAAGCACACUGAUUCCUGAAACAGGGAAAGCAAACCAUGUGAGUCUUCUGAUUUCUCCAGUUUACUGCCCUUAGACAGUUUCCAGCCUGUGGUUCAGGGAGAGGAAACCAGGUGGAACUCAGCUGAUUCCCUGAGUUGAGGAAAUUGUUUUAGGAAAGAGCAAUAAUUCAGGGAAUAGAAGAAAAAAUUUUAAAUCUAUAAUUAAAAUCUUCAGAGGAUCAAGAGAAGUUAUU